rnacentral:snoRNA from 2 species
UGGCUGUGAUGACAAAAAUGUUCGUUUCUCGAUGCUGAGACUUGAUUUAUUCAAGGACCAUAUUUUGAUGAGCUCUGUGCGUGUCUGAGCCUU